rnacentral:rRNA from 1 species
UUGAAAGGGAAACGAUUGAAGUCAGUCGUACCGACGAGAAAUCAGCUCUUUGAGUGCGAACUUGUGGGCGUGCGUGAGCUUUACGGUCUCGCUGUUUGCAAUGUUUGUUCUUUUUGGGUGUACUUUUUCGUAUGGUAGGCCAACAUCAGUUUCGAAUAUCAUAAAAUGACCGGAGGAAUGUAGCUUCGAUCUUGUAUUGAAGUGUUAUAGCCUUUGGUAGAUGUGGUGUUUGGGACUGAGGAUUGCAACGAAUAUCCUUUGGGCUAUCCGUCUGAUCUCUGAAAGUUGCUUAGGUGCCGAAAGCGUGCUUAUGGUUAUCUAAGUUAACGGUCAAUAGGUUAGAACGUGAUUACAUUCGUUAAGGAUGUUGACGUA